ACAAAAAAUAGUUUUCAAUUCAGUGUAUGACGCACGCGCACACACAUAUCACAUCCACAAUUUUUUUGGCUUACAUAAAAUGACAAAUGUUUCAUCUUGCAAAAAAGAAACAAAUGAAAAAAGCUUCCGCCUCACAGGCAUUAGCAUCGAACUUCCAUAAUUUUCUAUAUUUUUAUACAAAGCGAACAUUCCCCACGAGUAGUAAUACAUGGACUUCUCCUAGCCUGUGGGUAGGGGAGUCAAAGUGCGGCUGCCUGUGUGUGCUCUCACACUGGGAGAACCCUAGCGCUCGACGAAGUGGUGCGGGCGGCCAACUUGUCCGGCAGGAUAGGAUGGCCGGAGUACAGCAGUGAGCACCUCCGGGCUGCUGGGACAAACACGAUGUUUGCAAACUGGCCUCAGAGAGAGAGAGAGAGAGAGAGAAAGAGAGGGUGGUGGCUCAAAUUGAAUACUCACUGCAGUUCAAACACACAUGUAGAGGAG
rnacentral:lncRNA from 1 species